AAGCAUAUCAAUAAGCGGAGGAAAAGAAACCAACAGGGAUUGCCUCAGUAACGGCGAGUGAAGCGGCAACAGCUCAAAUUUGAAAUCUGGCCUCUUUGGGGUCCGAGUUGUAAUUUGUAGAGGAUGUUUCGGGUACCGCCUCGGUUUAAAUUUCUUGGAACAGAAUGUCAAAGAGGGUGAGAAUCCCGUCUUGGACCGGCGGUAGGGCCCAUGUGAAACUCCUUCGACGAGUCGAGUUGUUUGGGAAUGCAGCUCAAAAUGGGUGGUAAAUUUCAUCUAAAGCUAAAUAUUGGCCAGAGACCGAUAGCGCACAAGUAGAGUGAUCGAAAGAUGAAAAGCACUUUGAAAAGAGAGUUAAACAGUAUGUGAAAUUGUUGAAAGGGAAGCGCUUACAACCAGACUUGAGCGCGGCGGUUCCCCCUUCCUUUUGGUUGGGUUACUCCGUCGUGUCCAGGCCAACAUCGGUUUCGGGGGUCGGUUAAAGACCUUGGGAAUGUAUCUACCCUUCGGGCGUAGACUUAUAGCCCAGGGUGUCAUGCGGCCUCCCGGGACCGAGGAACGCGCUUCGGCUCGGAUGUUGGCGUAAUGGUUGUCAGCGACCCGUCUUGAAACACGGACCAAGGAGUCUAACAUCUAUGCGAGUGUUUGGGUGUCAAACCCGGAACGCGAAAUGAAAGUGAACGGAGGUAGGAAGCCUUGAGGCUGCACUAUCGACCGAUCCUGAUGUCUUCGGAUGGAUUUGAGUAAGAGCAUAGCUGUUGGGACCCGAAAGAUGGUGAACUAUGCCUGAAUAGGGUGAAGCCAGAGGAAACUCUGGUGGAGGCUCGCAGCGGUUCUGACGUGCAAAUCGAUCGUCAAAUUUGGGUAUAGGGGCGAAAGACUAAUCGAA
rnacentral:rRNA from 1 species